GAUGCGGCGGCAAGUAUCGUACAACUAGGACAACUGGCUCUUAUGAUGACAAUGGAAAUGCCACUGCAGUACAUGAUUCAAGAGAAAAGAGAAAAGUGAAGAACAUGAUGAGUUGAUGGCAAAGAAAUCCAGGUUGGCAUACACCCGAAAAAGAUGGAAAUUAGGCAGGAC